rnacentral:rRNA from 1 species
CCUACGGGGGGCAGCAGUGGGGAAUAUUGGACAAUGGGCGAAAGCCUGAUCCAGCCAUGCCGCGUGUGUGAAGAAGGCCUUCGGGUUGUAAAGCACUUUCAGUGGGGAAGAAAGCCUUGGGGCUAAUACCCUCGAGGAAGGACAUCACCCACAGAAGAAGCACCGGCUAACUCCGUGCCAGCAGCCGCGGUAAUACGGAGGGUGCGAGCGUUAAUCGGAAUUACUGGGCGUAAAGCGCGCGUAGGCGGUCUGAUAAGCCGGUUGUGAAAGCCCCGGGCUCAACCUGGGAACGGCAUCCGGAACUGUCAGGCUAGAGUGCAGGAGAGGAAGGUAGAAUUCCCGGUGUAGCGGUGAAAUGCGUAGAGAUCGGGAGGAAUACCAGUGGCGAAGGUGGCCUUCUGGACUGACACUGACGCUGAGGUGCGAAAGCGUGGGUAGCAAACAGGAUUAGAUACCCUUGUAGUC